rnacentral:rRNA from 1 species
UACGUAGGGGGCAAGCGUUGUCCGGAUUUAUUGGGCGUAAAGAGCGUGUAGGCGGCCAGGCAGGUCUGCUGUGAAAACUCGAGGCUCAACCUCGAGAUGUCGGCGGAAACCAUCUGGCUAGAGUCCGGAAGAGGAGAAUGGAAUUCCCGGUGUAGCGGUGAAAUGCGCAGAUAUCGGGAAGAACACCCGUGGCGAAGGCGGUUCUCUGGGACGGUACUGACGCUGAGACGCGAAAGCGUGGGGAGCGAACAGG